GUUGCUAUGUAAAGUAAAGGAAAAGAAUAGAUGGUAGGAGGAAAGAACAUACACUAGAGGUGGAAGAGAUAUGAUGAGUGGUGACCGUGGUGGAAGAGAAAAUGACGGCGGUGAUGAAAAAAAUCAGUAGUAGUGAUGGUGACAAUGAUAUGCUCGAGGGGAAUGAAGAAGAAAAAAAUGACGGAGUUAGACAUGAUCUGCACAAUUAACAUGAUUCUAUAUUGUUAUAUUAAAUAAAUAGUAUUGAACAAUUAUUUUAUACUAGUAUGAUAACAAUAACCAUAAUACAUAUUAUGCUAGGAAAAAAAUUAUUUGCAUUGUUGCUGAGAGAGAAAAAUAGUGAGGA
rnacentral:lncRNA from 1 species